rnacentral:rRNA from 1 species
CCCUUAGAUAUCCUAGGCUGCACGCGAACUACAAUGGUAUAUAUAAAAGGUUGCUGCUCUGAGAAGACUGGCAAUACCCUGAUAUAUAUCGUAUUUGGAAUAGAUUUUUGUAAUUAUCAAUCUUGAACGAGGAAUUCCUAGUAAAAAUAUUUCAUCAUAAUGUUUUGAUUGUGUCCCUGCCCUUUGUACACACCGCCCGUCGCUCCUACCGAUUGAAUAUUCCGGUGAGAAGAUAGGAGAAAAAUCUUUUGAUUUUUUGAAUAUUUUUGAACCUUGAUAUUUAGAGGAAGGAGAAGUCGUAACA